UUAAUAGUAAGAUCUGCUCAAUGAUUAAUUAAAUAGCCGCAAUUCGUGCUAAGGUAGCAUAAUCAUUUGUCUUUUAAAUGAAGACUAGAACAAAAGAUUUAACAUUUUAAUAUAUAUAUCCUUUUUUAAAAUUAAAAUUUUCUUAAAUGUAAAAAGACCUUUAUAUUAAAGAAAGACGACAAGACCCUAUUGAACUUAACUUUAGUUAAACUGGGGUAGUAAAUUAAUUAUUAUUUUAAUAUAAUUAUUGUUAUAAAUAUCUAAAAUUAUUUAAUAAUUCAGUUACCUUAGGGAUAACAGCACAAUUAAUUUUUAGAGUUCCUAUCUAAAAAAUAGAUUAUGACCUCGAUGUUGAAUUAAUAACCUAUUUUAAAGUAAAUAUUAAAAAAGGAAGUCUGUUCGACUUUUAAAAAAUUACAUGAUUUGAGUUCAGACCGGUAUAAGCCAGGUCGGCUUCCAUCUUCUAAACUGUUUCUUGUAGUACGAAAGGGCCCAAGAAUUUAAUUUAAUUAAUUAAUUGGCAGAUUAAUGCAUUAGAAUUAGAAUCUAAUCAAACUACU
rnacentral:rRNA from 1 species